GUGUCGCUGUGGCUCGCAGCAGUAUGUUGGCUGAAACGGCCACGUUUGAUUUGCCACUGGGAUGAUGGAUGGCAUGUUAAGACCAGCUUCUCGGAGCCUUAUAGUUACCACAGUGAUCAGUCUUGAUGAGUGAACUUAAGGUUUUAGGUCAAGGCACCAGUUUUAGGAAGGCAGAGUCUCAACGUAUCACACUUCUUUGAGUUUGGGUGUUCGGUCAUUGCUGUGGAACACCAGUUUGAGCUUUGAAGCCAAGAAGGCAAAAUCACAUGCAAGAAUCAUGGGACCUCAUAAGCCCCAAAUGCCUGAAGACUGGCCUUGUCAAUUGGAUGACCUUUCAACUGGCUAACCUGGACAGUCCAAGCUGGUGGGAGAAUCCACAAUCUUGCUUCUCAAAAGAUCUCUGGAUUCUUCCCACUGUUGUCCAUCUCAGAUUGAUAUUUUUGUCAACUACAAUAAAAAUGAGUUGUUUAAAAAAAUAA